rnacentral:rRNA from 1 species
UACGUAGGGGGCAAGCGUUGUCCGGAUUUAUUGGGCGUAAAGAGCUCGUAGGUGGUUCGGUAAGUCGGGUGUGAAACCUCCAGGCUCAACCUGGAGACGCCACCCGAUACUGCUGUGACUGGAGUCCGGUAGGGGAGCGUGGAAUUCCUGGUGUAGCGGUGAAAUGCGCAGAUAUCAGGAGGAACACCAGCGGCGAAGGCGGCGCUCUGGGCCGGUACUGACACUGAGGAGCGAAAGCGUGGGUAGCAAACAGG